AGAACGAACGCUGGCGGCAUGCCUAAUACAUGCAAGUCGAACGAACACUUCGGUGUUAGUGGCGCACGGGUGCGUAACGCGUGGGAAUCUGCCCUUGGGUUCGGAAUAACAGUUGGAAACGACUGCUAAUACCGGAUGAUAUCGAAAGAUCAAAGAUUUAUCGCCCAGGGAUGAGCCCGCGUAGGAUUAGCUAGUUGGUGAGGUAAAGGCUCACCAAGGCGACGAUCCUUAGCUGGUCUGAGAGGAUGAUCAGCCACACUGGGACUGAGACACGGCCCAGACUCCGUACGGGAGGCAGCAGUAGGGAAUAUUGGACAAGUGGGCGCAAGCCUGACUCCAGCAAUGCCGCGUGAGUGAUGAAGGUCCGUUAGGGUGUAAAGCGUUACUUUACCGAGAU
rnacentral:rRNA from 1 species